GUGAGUGAAUGAGACAUCAAGGAGGAGGGGCCCCAGGGAACUUUUCGCACCGGGUCCAGUGGAUUCUAGUUGCACCUCUGCUCCAACAUUUAACAUCCACUACUCUAUGGUCAGGAUAAUUACUCCUGACUGUUGUGCACGUCUGAUCUGCAACUACAGGAAACGUUUGGUUGAAGUUAUUGCUGCCAAAGGAGGUUCAACCAGUUAUUAAAUCCAAGGGCUCACAUACUUUUUCCACCUGCACUAUGAAUGUUUACAUGGUGUGUUCAAUAAAAACAUGGC